rnacentral:rRNA from 1 species
AUUGAACGCUGGCGGCAUGCUUUACACAUGCAAGUCGAACGGUAACAGGCCGCAAGGUGCUGACGAGUGGCGAACGGGUGAGUAAUGCAUCGGAACGUGCCCAGUCGUGGGGGAUAACGCAGCGAAAGCUGCGCUAAUACCGCAUACGAUCUAUGGAUGAAAGCGGGGGACCGUAAGGCCUCGCGCGAUUGGAGCGGCCGAUGUCAGAUUAGGUAGUUGGUGGGGUAAAGGCCUACCAAGCCAACGAUCUGUAGCUGGUCUGAGAGGACGACCAGCCACACUGGGACUGAGACACGGCCCAGACUCCUACGGGAGGCAGCAGUGGGGAAUUUUGGACAAUGGGCGCAAGCCUGAUCCAGCAAUGCCGCGUGCAGGAAGAAGACCUUCGGGUUGUAAACUGCUUCUGUACGGAACGAAACGGUCCGGGUUAAUACCCUGGGCUAAUGACGGUACCGUAAGAAUAAGCACCGGUUAACUACGUGCCAGCCGCCGCCGUAAAAC